rnacentral:rRNA from 1 species
CCUACGGGAGGCAGCAGUGAGGAAUAUUGGUCAAUGGACGCAAGUCUGAACCAGCCAUGCCGCGUGCAGGAUGACGGCUCUAUGAGUUGUAAACUGCUUUUGUACGAGGGUAAACGCAGAUACGCGUAUCUGUCUGAAAGUAUCGUACGAAUAAGGAUCGGCUAACUCCGUGCCAGCAGCCGCGGUAAUACGGAGGAUUCAAGCGUUAUCCGGAUUUAUUGGGUUUAAAGGGUGCGUAGGCGGUCGGAUAAGUUAGAGGUGAAAUCUCGAGGCUCAACUUCGGAAUUGCCUCUGAUACUGUUCGGCUAGAGAAUAGUUGAGGUAGGCGGAAUGUAUGGUGUAGCGGUGAAAUGCUUAGAGAUCAUACAGAACACCGAUUGCGAAGGCAGCUUACCAAGCUACUUCUGACGUUGAGGCACGAAAGCGUGGGUAGCAAACAGGAUUAGAUACCCGAGUAGUC